CCAGACUCCUACGGGAGGCAGCAGUGGGGAAUAUUGGGCAAUGGGCGCAAGCCUGACCCAGCAACGCCGCGUGAAGGAAGAAGGCUUUCGGGUUGUAAACUUCUUUUAAGAGGGAAGAGCAGAAGACGGUACCUCUUGAAUAAGCCACGGCUAACUACGUGCCAGCAGCCGCGGUAAUACGUAGGUGGCAAGCGUUGUCCGGAUUUACUGGGUGUAAAGGGCGUGUAGCCGGGCUGACAAGUCAGAUGUGAAAUCCGGGGGCUCAACCCCUGAACUGCAUUUGAAACUGUUGGUCUUGAGUAUCGGAGAGGCAGGCGGAAUUCCUAGUGUAGCGGUGAAAUGUGUAGAUAUUAGGAGGAACACCAGUGGCGAAGGCAGCAUACCGGCGCCCAACUGACGCUGAAGCACGAAAGCGUGGGUAUCGAACAGGAUUAGAUAUCCGAGUA
rnacentral:rRNA from 1 species